CCUGGCGGCACUAGCGCGGUGGUCCCACCUGACCCCAUGCCGAACUCAGAAGUGAAACGCCGUAGCGCCGAUGGUAGUGUGG
rnacentral:rRNA from 4 species